rnacentral:tRNA from 1 species
ACCCGGAUAGCUCAGUCGGUAGAGCGUUAGGCUUUUAACCUAACGGUCCUGGGUUCGAGUCCCUGUUCGGGCG